GGUUGAUCCCAGUGUUUUGACUCGGUCCUAUGCUGGACAGUGGUGUCUUUCUGGACCUCGUCUUUUGACUGAUUUCUUUACCUUUUUUUCCUGCAAAAAAUUUCCCCUUUUUUCUUUCUUAACAAUUUGGACUGCUUUUAAUCCUUUUUUCCUUUGGAUAGAGCGGCGUUAAGGGUCCUUACUCGACACCGCCGACGGCCGCGCUAGCGGCAGGGGGCUUCCUCCUCAAGGAUCCCCUGAGGGGUCGCAGCUCAUCUCCCCCUCUGCCUCCCCUUGCAUCGGGAGUGCCUGUAUAGCUGCAUUUGAACGGCAUUUGCCGAGCAGCUUCCUGGCGCUGAUUCUGGCGGGUGAUUCAAAUGGCGCCAUUUUCUUGCCGCUUUUACUGCCUGGAGCUAGCAGCUUGACGAGCGAUUUCCCAGCGGAGCCUUUCUCCUUGGCCCAAAGUCAACUCUGGAGCCAGAAUCCUCCUGUUCAACGGAGAUCCUCCUCGUUCAGCUAAGUUAUCUUGGGGGCUUACUUUUAACACUGAGGCUCUUUCUCCCCUCCCAAGGGAUUGUGAGUUCAAAAUGGCGGACGCUUCUAAUCAUCCCCGCUCAACCUCGGCCUCCUCACAGACCCACCAUCGGCACGCUAGCGACCCGGGGGAGGGCACCUCCGCUAAGCAAUCACGCAAGGGCAAAGCCCCAAGAAAGGGAUCCUCCGCUUCAGCCGCCCAGCCUCCCAAACAAUCUAAGGAAGAGCUGAGACGCCACAGGGCGUUGGAGAAGGCGGUUCUCAGGGCACAACAACUGCCCUCCGCCUUUUUGCCUGUCCCGGCCACCAUUCUAUCACCAAUAGAUUCGGCCACGGGUCCUCAAUUGUCUGAGACCCAUCCGGGGCGUGAACUAUCUCCGGAUCGUCCUUCCUCCCGUGGGCCAACCUUAUCUGAGGCAGAGCAGGUCUUCCAGCCAUCCCAGACCCCUCUGAUCCUCACAGGCCUAGCCAUUCAGUGACCUCCGUUCCAGGUCCUUCCAGCCUAGCAACCAGUCACGUUGCCACUCAUCCCCCCCCAGGGGGAACAUCUCAGGCAGAUCCUCAAGCUACGCUAGAGGCCAUCAUCGCCAGGGCUAUUCAACAGGGUUUGGCUCAAGGUCUUCAGCAAGGCCUCUUUCAGCCGCACCCUUCCGUGCCUCACGCUCAAUCCUGCCAUGUGCAAUCUGAUCACUCCACUGAUCACCAGUAUUCCCCGGAGCCCUCUAACCAGGGGUCUCUAUCGGAUGAAGAGGAAUCGAGGGAGUUAUCUCUUUCGGAUGAUGAGGGACUGGCUCCGGACCAACCAGCCUUUAUUGGUCUCUUUAGACCUCAGCUUUUCUGAUCUUUAUUGUACAAAGCCCUAGCUGUGACCAGACUGGGUUCUCCUUCUACUGCGGGUACAACACUCCCUGAGAGUGCGGAUCCUGCCUCUUCUCUCUUUGCUGAACCAGCUGUUGAACCUGAACUUAUUCCUGCCCCUAAACUGUUUACUGACGUUGUACAACGACAGUGGGCACUGCCUGGCUCAGCUCCAGCUCCGAGUGGCAUCGAUAAACGAUUAUAUCAAACUGCCCCAGCUCUUUCUAAUUUACUGCAAGUACCUCCAGUGGACGGCCCAAUUGCAGCCUUGACAUCUCCUUCCAGACUCCCAAGCUCUCCGGAAGAAUCACUGCGUCCUGAAGACAAACGGCGGAAAAGACUCUUAUCAAGGCACAUCAAUCUGCUGCGUGGGCUGUCAAAAUGGCCACCGCAGCCUCCUUUUUCAACCGAGCCUCUCUGUUAUGGUUGAAACAACUACAGGAUUGACUACCUCCUUCGGACAUUCACACUCACCAGGACCUGAACAAGAUAGUCGCGGCCCUAGAGUACUCGGCAGAUGCCACCUUGAAUUCCGCUUGUUUUGCGGCCAAAUCCAUCGGCUCCACUGUUACAUCCCGCAGACUUCUGUGGCUCCACCACUGGCAGGCCGAUGCCAAAAGCAAAUGGCCACUCACAUCAUCUCCCUAUUCGGCUGACUCCCUGUUCGGUCCACCGUUGGAACCCCUUCUUGUAGAAACCAGAGAUCGUCGCAAGAUCCUCCCUUCAGUCUCUCGGCGCUCCAAUUCUCGCUUUUCCCCCUACAGCAGAAUUCAGUCCUUUCAAUCUCAGGAAUCCAGCUCCUAUCAGCCUCGUUUUCAACGCUCCUACCAGAGCCAACCUCAUCAGGACCCCCAGGUCAGACAGAGUAGUAGGCCUUUCCAUAAGUGGCCCUUUCAAGGGGGUAGGGGAAAGCCAUUCCGUAGGUCCAAGUGAAACGGAAUCAGAGAUUCCCAUUGGCGGCCGCCUAUCCUUGUUUGCCGAUCAAUGGGAUCUUUCCACCUCUGAUUCCUGGGUUCAGUGUACAGUUAGGUAUGGUCUUUCCCUUAAGUUCUCCUCCCCUCCCCCUCCUGUUUUUAUCUCCUGUCUGGUUUCAAGGGACAGAGUUUGGAGGAGCCUAGUUUCGGGGGCCAUCUCCCACCUAAUUUCUAUCAGAGCCAUUCAGCGGGUCCCUCCCGACCAAUGUGGCCUCGGUUUUUACUCCCGUUUGUUCAUAGUUAGCAAGUCAUCCGGGAGGUGGAGGGCCAUCCUUGAUUUGAAGGCUCUUAAUCGGUACGUUGUGUAUCACCAGUUUAAGAUGCACACCCUGCAGACUAUCCUGGAGACUCUCCGGCCAGGGGAUUUCCUCACCUCCAUCAAUUUAACGGAGGUGUACCUUCACGUCCCUAUCCACCCUGACUUCCGUAAAUACCUUCGGUUUCACUACCGAGGGUGUCAUUACCAGUACGCUGCCCUCCCAUUUGGCCUGUCCUCCACCCCCCGCGUCUUUACUAAGAUUAUGGCGGCUCUAGUGGCCCAUAUCCGGUCCACCCCCCUUAGAAUCCAAUUUUACUUAGAUGACAUUUUACUUCAAUCCUCCUCCUUGAGAGCGGUCCGCCAGGACCUGGCUACUACUAUCCGGAUUUUUCAGGACCAUGGUUUCUCCGUAAAUUGGUCCAAGAGUCACUUGGUUCCGACCACCUGUCUCCAGCACUUAGGGGCUGUAAUCAAUACUGUAACCUCUACGGUUUCCCUUUCGGUGGACCGACAGACCAGCCUCUGUUCCAUGGCCCUCCGCUGUAUCUCGGAGCGGUCCUCUUCUCUUCUCGGGCUGUCUUGCCUUAUGGGGAAGAUGGUCUCCACGUACGACAUUGUACCGUGGUCGAGGCUCCACAGUAGGGAAUUACAAUGGUUCCUGCUCCCACAUCAGAAAAACCGAUCCAGUACCUCCCUCCGCAGAGUGUCUCUUCCCCCGGCUGUGAUCUCCUCUCUCCGAUGGUGGACGUCCUCAGCUUUGUCCGCACCCUGCUUCUUCAGGGAACCGACCCGCCACAUCACCAUGGACGCGAGCCUCCAGGGUUGCGAGGCUCACUUGAAGCAUCACCUGACUCAAGGUCAGUGGUCGACUCUUGAACGGUCCCUUCCCAUUAAUCUUCUGGAACUGAGGGCCAUUCAUCUAGCAUUACUCCACUUCCAGAACCUUAUUACUUCUUGUGAUGUGCUCGUCCUAACGGACAACGUUACAGCAAAGGCACACGUUAAUAGACUGGGAGGCACUCAUUCUCGAGUGCUCAUGGAUGAGGCUCUACUUCUCGGUCUCUGGGCUGAGUCUCACCUUAAAUCUCUUCGCGCAGAUCACAUCUCGGGAGAAGAGAAUUCGCAAGCGGAUGCUCUCAGCAGACAUCAACUGGACAAUGCAGAAUGGAGUCUCCCUGCUCAUAUCUUCAGAGACAUCACUCUCCGUUUCGGAACUCCUGAGGUGGAUCUAUUUGCAUCUCGGACGAAUCACCAGGUUCCGAGGUAUUUUUCCCGAUACCAAGACCCCAGGGCUGAAGCCACUGAUGCUCUUCGCUGUCCUUGGCCAUCAGGCCUUCUAUAUGCCUUUCCUCCAUUUCCUUUGCUCCCUAGGGUCAUCAGGAAAGUCAUUCAGGAAUGGGCAGAGAUCAUUCUCUUGGCACCGCGCUGGCCACGGAGACACUGGUAUGCGGACUUAGUGUCCCUAUCGGUCGAUCGACCUUGGAGCAUCCCAGAUGACCAGAUGAUCCUCCUCCAGGGUCCCCUUCGGCAUCCGGACCCAUCAUGGUACCGCUUAACCGCAUGGAGGCUGAGCGGUUCUUCUUAAAAAAGGCCAACGUUCCCUCUGCAGCAAUCGAUGUGGUUUUAGCCUCCCGCAAGCCAUCUACCAACAGGAUCUACGACUCAACAUGGUCAUCAUUUGUCGAUUGGUGCCAACGUUCCCACGUCCAUCCCCUAUCGGCCUCAGUGCAGAAUGUGUUGCGUUUUCUAUUGGAGGGGUUCGAAGCUGGCCUAUCCCCCAAUACUCUUCGACGUCAAGUGGCCGCCAUUUCUACGGUUCUGACCUGCGGUUCUUCUUCAUCUAUUUCUUGUCAUCCCAUCAUCCGCCAAUUUUUGCGCGGCGCCACCAACUUACGACCUCCACCGGUCCAUCGCUUCCCUACUUGGGAUCUGAACAAGGUAACUGACCGCUCUCACAGCCUCCCCCUUCGAACCGCUCCGGCAAGUCUCGCUACGCUUCUUGUCCUUCAAGGUCUCAUUCUUGGUCGCAAUCACGUCGGCCCGACGCAUUUCAGAACUGGUGGCCCUAUCGUCUCGUAAGGACCUCUGCAUUUUUCAUCAUGACAGGGUAGUCCUCCGACUGGACCCAGCGUUCAUACCUAAAAUCAACUCUCCCUUUCAUCGGGCUCAAGAAUUGGUCCUGCCCAAUUUCUGUCCCUCCCCUAUGCACCGCUUAGAACGCACGUGGCACACAUUGGAUGUCCGCCGAGCCAUCAAAAUAUAUCUGAUGCGUACUUCCACAUUUCGUAAAACAGAGGCGUUGUUUGUCUUCUACCAACCCACGUCUAUUGGAACCAAGGCAUCUGCACCUAUGCUGGGUCGUUGGAUCCGGGCAACCAUAUCUACUGCCUACCAAAGACAGUCUUUACCUAUUCCCCACCGUAUCACGGCCCACUCCACCAGGAGUGCGGCAACCUCCACUGAGUGGGCAACCCAGGCUCCGUUGGAGGAGAUUUGCAGAGCGGCCGCCUGGACAAGCAUCUCCCCCUUUAUCCGACACUAACGAGUGGACUCGUUUGCAUCGGCGGAGGCGGCCUUCGGACGCAGAGUCCUCCAGGCAGUUCACACGGCUUGAGAAAGACACUCCAGUCUGCGUUAACGCCCUUGCCGAAACACUGGGAUCAACCAGCAGAGGGCGGAGCUAUUUAAAUUUUGCAGACUCGGUCAUAUGCUGCAUAGUGGAGUCCAAGCCCCAGUCUGACAGACGUUCCUCACUAAGAGAGAACGGACGUAUCAGGUAAGACCAACGUCUAUUUUCACAUCAUUCUAUCACCCAUCUCCUCCCACUUAUGACUGUAUGAAUGUCACCUUGUUGCUGGUACCCUUAAGAUUUAUAUUGACUGUUUCCCUACAACUAUCAAUAAGUGUUGUAUCUUAUGAUUCUUGAUGAAUGUAUCUUUUCUUUUAUGUACACAAGAGAGCGUAUGCACCAAGACAAAUUCCUUGUGUGUCCAAUCACACUUGGCCAAUAAAGAAUUCUAUUCUAUUCUUUUUAACAGAGUUUUUCUUUAAACUGUUACAUCAUUUUCUUUUACUUUCUCUUAAUAUAGGUACUCUCAAAUACAUUUUCAAUAGCUUUGCCUACUUUAAGAGUUAUUUAAGCAUUAUAUAUAUGUAAAUAUAUAUAUAUAUUUGCAAAUUUUGGGUCAAACCUUUCUUUCAGAUGCACAUAUCAAGCAAAUAAAAAUGCGUCCCGAUUCCAGUUAACUCAUUAAGCUUAAGACAUUCCUUCCAGCUUAUCUUCAUGGAGUAAAAUCUUUUUCUUCUCUGGAAGUAUCAAAGACUUGUAGUCUUUUCUUUUUCUCACAAGAUCCUCAACCUUGUUAAUGUCCUUAAAGAAAAAGUCCUAAAUUUGUCUAUUUUCUCAAAGCUCUUCUUUCAAUUGUAUUGAGAGGUUUACAUUUGAAACAUAGUAGUGAGGGUAAAAAUGAAAGUUAAUAUCCAGCUCUUCCAAACCUGCGAUACACUCCUCUGCAUUUUCAGCUAUUUAUGAAGUUGCCUCAGCAGUUUGGUAAUAUUCUCCACUUUUUGCAUCUCAGAAGUACUUUAAGAUGAUUUUUUAUCCUCAGAGAACAACUGAUUCACAAAUUGGCAUAUUUCAUUUAGAGACCUUUCAAAUAUAUCUCUAAUACUUUGCUCCAUCAUCUUGGCUUUCUCUUUUAAUCAGAAUCAGAAGAUUUUAGCCACCCACAGCUGAGAAGAUCAAGCUACCAGUUACUACAAUAGUAAACUAAAAUCACAGCUUCAAUCAUUAUUUUUCUCUGAUAGCUUUUUUUUUCUCGGCCCAUUUCUUCAUUUGGCUUGCCUUAGCAGCCUUCUUCCUUGUUCUUUAAGACAUCCUUAAAAUGGUGCUGAUCUUCAAAAAGGUAUUGCUGUUGCUAGAAAGGGUCUCUUUUAAAUUGACCAGGUAGAAAAAUAGCCUUUGAAGAUGAUUGAAAUAAGGAAGGCAUAACUUACUGUUGGAUUGAAAUGUGAAUUUCCAAACACAAUGGCUUCUUCAGCCCCUGAACAGAUUGCAGCCUCUUCCCUCCCAGCUUUUGGCAUACAGACAGCUUCAGAGUUCAACUCCAAAAGCAAUCUGCCGGUUUACUGCUAUAUUGAGGGGUCCUGAGGGAAAGUUCUUCGACACACCCUGACCAGGUGGGUCAUAAAAACUGAUGGGAUACAAUUCUUUCAGUUAGAAGGCAGAAGAGCAACACUCCAGGGAGAAAUCCUUCAGAGAUCUCUCCCUGUGCAUGUGUUCAGUUAGCCAUGUUCCCAAGAAGUGCUAAUAGGCUUUUCUUAAGUUUAUUAUUUUGAAGUAACUUCUGUUCAGAGAAACUGCCAGUUCCAUAAUCAUAAAAUUGCACUGAGAAAGUUAGAUUGUCAUGGGAUCAGCUAUGUUGUGGGUCAGGAUUUGCAAUGAAUUUUCUUAAAGUGUUCUCUUAGGAUGAAAUAGCUCUCCUGAUAUUGUUGCUUAACUGUUAAAAGGUGGGAUAAUAAAAUCUGCACAUCAGAGAUUUCAGAUUUAGGAAAUGUAAACUCUAAAAUCUUCCAUUAUUUGUUAUAUCUUUUGAAAAUUGCAGUUCAAAUUGUAUGUUGACAUUGUUAGAAUAAAAAGUGAAUUUGACUUA